UGAGUCUAUUUAUUUUUAUAUUGGGUCUAGAAUAAAUAAAUAGGUUAAUUAGUUUUUAUUUUAAUUUUAACUAUUUUAAUUAUUUAACUUUAUUCAGUUUUUAAUUUAAUAUUGGGUUUCAAAAUAAACUUAGGCCCAUUAUCAUUAACCUAAUUUGUUCCUAUAUAUAUUUACUAGCAUGACUGAUAGGAGGAGGCCGAAGGACAGAACGAAAAAGAGAAACUGAGAGUGGCUGAUCUAUACUAUCGUACACACAGUUUGGUAAUAGUUUAUAUAUGAUAUAUAUACUUUAUCUAUUUUGUUGAUAUAUUUGAUUAUGUUUUCGGAUCGGGUCGUGUCAAUACGCCGUUUUCACAUAUACGUGUAUGAGGCGUGACAUUUGUGUUAUCCGAUCCAGUUGCGAUGAUCGCAAUUUUGCGCUAGCAACGCCGUUGUUUUUUUUUAUUCAUUUUUUAUAUAUAUAUACAUAUAUUUAGAUCUGCACAUUUUUUUUCAUAACUAACUACCCUGAUUUUUCCUAAACCAUGACAAUUUCGCCACAAACUCUAAAUUUCAAACCUAAAACUUUAACCGUGUUGUUUCCUCUAAACCAUAAACCUUUUCUUAAACCUUAACAAACCUUAUUAUUAUUUCCUAUUUUCGCUCAUAUUUAUGUUAUUCAUACACUGUAACUGCUUCGCCCUUGUAAUAUUUUAAGUUUUAACUUGUAAUAUUUUCAGUUUUACUUUUCG
rnacentral:lncRNA from 1 species